AUAUCAAUAAGCGGAGGAAAAGAAACCAACCGGGAUUGCCCUAGUAACGGCGAGCGAAGCGGCAAAAGUCCAAAUUUGAAAUCUGGCGUCCUACGGGCGUCCGAGUUGUAAUUUGAAGAUGGUAACUUUGGGUUUGGCUCUUGCAUAAGUUCCUUGGAACAGGACGUCAUAGAGGGUGAGAAUCCCGUUCAUGGUAAGAUGCCCAUUCCUUUGUAAAGUGCCUUCGAAGAGUCGAGUUGUUUGGGAAU
rnacentral:rRNA from 1 species